UCCAUGUGGACCACAGAGAUCUUUGCUCUGGAAGGAAGACAUGGGGCAGGUGGACAUUGCAUGGACAACAUAGGAGGAGAAUCCAGCUUACCUCCACCCCUAAACUAUACAGAUAAACACUGCACCACGGCCACAACCUCUGGUUUAGCUCAGAGACUGGGAUUCAACACACACACACCCCAGUGUUUUUGAAGGAGGCAGAACCAUGCUUGAACAACGGCUGAUUCCUGGAUCCCUCUGAGGCAUCUGGAGCAAGUCCCACAGCUUGAGCCAAAUGCAUCAAUGGUGUAACUUCAUGUAAGUCAAUGGAGCUACAGCAGGGACCGCUGCUUCCAUUUAGAUACAACGGUUCUGCGUGCCUAACCAAUCGCUGUAUAACCUGGGCAAUAUACCGACAUAGGAUAGAUCAAAAUCCAGGCCAGGGAAGGAUCUGAACUCCACUCUUCACAGCCCUACCUGGAGGGCGCGACGGCAAAGAUCUACACAACACCCUCUGGCCUUCGAGCCACAUGACUCAUGUUACUGGGGCAACGUCCGGGGAGGGAGGAAAUAGCGUGGUAAAAAAUAAAACCACAGCCCAGCUGAGUGUGAGAGACGCGCAGAGCCAGAGCCCGAGCAGCAGGAAAGCACAGCCUGGCUGGAGCGUUGCAGAGAUGGUCUGAGUAAUUAUCAAUGCCUGCAGGUAUGUGGCAUCAAAAAUUGGGAGCCUGUGUGGCCACAGAGGUGAGGAGCCCCUUACCACCACGGCCCACCCAGCUGACCACAGCCAGAACCAAAGUAAGUAAAGGACUUGCUGGAGCUGUCAUGAAGAUUGCUGUGGUGGGGGAGAACAAGCAUGCUAGAUUAGAAAGGUGGUGUGAUGCAGCGGGCUGCGACUCAGGCGAAUUAGGUUCUAUUCUUUGCUCUGCUACUAACCUGCUGCAUGGCAGUGCCGUAGCUAGGAAUGUAAGGUUGGGUGGGCUGCAAAUUAUUAUGGACGGGCAAUAUCCCACCCCCACAUUUCCUUACAGACACGGCUUUGGUUUUGGUUAGCUAAAGUCUUUUCAAAACUUGUC
rnacentral:lncRNA from 1 species